UACGAAGGGGGCUAGCGUUGCUCGGAAUCACUGGGCGUAAAACGCACGUAGGCGGCUUUUUAAGUCAGAGGUGAAAUCCUGGAGCUCAACUCCAGAACUGCCUUUGAUACUGGAGAGCUUGAGUCCGGGAGAGGUGAGUGGAACUGCGAGUGUAGAGGUGAAAUUCGUAGAUAUUCGCAAGAACACCAGUGGCGAAGGCGGCUCACUGGCCCGGUACUGACGCUGAGGUGCGAAAGCGUGGGGAGCAAACAGG
rnacentral:rRNA from 1 species